CACUAUAGUCACUCUCUUAUUGUUCCAGUCUCGUGAAUAGAAACGACGGAACAGUAUAGUCACUCUCUUAGUUAAGUUUCCUGAGCAAAGAAAUCAUAACCUCUUCCCCUUUUCUUCUUCUUCUUCAGUGGUUUCUUUGUUUUCAAUAACAAUGGCGAAAUAUGACAUUGAAAGUGGUGGUGGUAUCGAUCUCUAUCCCGAGAUGAAAGAGAGUACGAAGCUUCGCUGGACUUUCAUCAGAAAAGUUUAUGUCAUCAUGCUGCUCCUUUCUAUCCUUUUUCUCGGAGUAGCCGCCGUUUUUCUUUCGUAGAUCUCAUCACCAAUCCCGACCAUCCCCUCGACUUCUUUUAUGUUGUAUUCCGGCUUCGGUUCCUUCUGGAGGCACUAGAAGAAACGAUUGAGGAAACUAACUAAAGAGGAUGCACGAGAAGAUGAGACAGACAUCCGAUUAGUCUCCAAGCUAUAAGGACGUACAUCUUCCUACACUUGGAAAACUCCAAUUAAUUCUCCUCUACCCCGCUUUUAUUAUUUUGUCAAUUUCUUCAUCCAAUCAAAUGUAUAAAGCUCAUAGUUCCUUUGUAAGUAACUAUUCUCACAUUGUUUGAAUAUAUACGUUGGAGUCUCCCAUGGUUUCUAAU
rnacentral:misc_RNA from 1 species